rnacentral:rRNA from 1 species
UACAGAGGUGGCAAGCGUUGUUCGGAAUUACUGGGCGUAAAGGGCGCGUAGGCGGCCAUCUAAGUCAGACGUGAAAUCCCCCGGCUUAACCUGGGAACUGCGUCUGAUACUGGACGGCUAGAGUAUGGGAGAGGGAUGUAGAAUUCCAGGUGUAGCGGUGAAAUGCGUAGAUAUCUGGAGGAAUACCGGUGGCGAAGGCGGCAUCCUGGACCAUUACUGACACUGAUGAGCGAAAGCCAGGGGAGCAAACGGG